rnacentral:rRNA from 1 species
AUUGAACGCUGGCGGCAGGCCUAACACAUGCAAGUCGGACGGUAGCACAGAGGAGCUUGCUCCUCGGGUGACGAGUGGCGGACGGGUGAGUAAUGUCUGGGAAACUGCCUGAUGGAGGGGGAUAACUACUGGAAACGGUAGCUAAUACCGCAUAACGUAGCAAGACCAAAGAGGGGGACCUUCGGGCCUCUCGCCAUCAGAUGUGCCCAGAUGGGAUUAGCUAGUAGGUGGGGUAACGGCUCACCUAGGCGACGAUCCCUAGCUGGUCUGAGAGGAUGACCAGCCACACUGGAACUGAGACACGGUCCAGACUCCUACGGGAGGCAGCAGUGGGGAAUAUUGCACAAUGGGCGCAAGCCUGAUGCAGCCAUGCCGCGUGUAUGAAGAAGGCCUUCGGGUUGUAAAGUACUUUCAGCGGGGAGGAAGGUGUUGUGGUUAAUAACCGCAGCAAUUGACGUUACCCGCAGAAGAAGCACCGGCUAACUCCGUGCCAGCCGCCGCUGUAA